rnacentral:rRNA from 1 species
UGGUUUUCCAAAAACAUGUCUUAAUGGAAUUUUUAUUAAGUCUGGCCUGCUCAAUGAUUAUUAAUAAUUAAAUAGCCGCAGUAUUUUGACUGUGCGAAGGUAGCAUAAUCAUUUGUCUUUUAAUUGAAGGCUUGUAUGAAUGGUUAGAUGAAUGAGUAACUUUCUUUACAUUAAAUAUUGAAUUUAAUUUUUUAUUUAAAAAGCUAAAAUGGUUAAAAGGGACGAGAAGACCCUAUAGAAUUUUACUAAUAUAUAAUUGAUAAUUAUUUUGGUAAUUGAUAAUUAUAUAUUAUAUAUUAGUUUUGUUGGGGUGACAGUGAGAUUAUCAUAACUCUCAUAAUUUAUAGUACUUAUAGAUUGUUAUAUUAAAGAUCCUAAUUUUGGAUAAUUAGAUUAAAUUACCUUAGGGAUAACAGCGUAAUUUUUCUGGAGAGUUCUUAUCGAUAGAAUAGUUUGCGACCUCGAUGUUGGAUUAAAAUUAGAUUUAAGUGCAAAAGCUUAAUUUCUAGGUCUGUUCGACCUUUAAAAUUUUACAUGAUCGAUUUCCAACCCGG